rnacentral:rRNA from 1 species
UAUCGCACAAUGGGGGAAACCCUGAUGCAGCGACGCCGCGUGAGUGAAGAAGUAUUUCGGUAUGUAAAGCUCUAUCAGCAGGGAAGAUAAUGACGGUACCUGACUAAGAAUCCUCGGCUAACUACGUGCCAUCAGCCGCGGUAAUACGUAGGGGGCAAGCGUUAUCCGGAUUUACUGGGUGUAAAGGGUGCGUAGGUGGCAGGGCAAGUCAGAUGUGAAAGCCCGGGGCUCAACCCCGGUACUGCAUUUGAAACUGUCCAGCUGGAGUGCAGGAGAGGUAAGCGGAAUUCCUAGUGUAGCGGUGAAAUGCGUAGAUAUUAGGAGGAACAUCAGUGGCGAAGGCGGCUUACUGGACUGUAACUGACACUGAGGCACGAAAGCGUUGGGAGCA